rnacentral:misc_RNA from 1 species
GGAAGGAAAGCUCCCAUAUUUUGCUGCCUUUCUUGAAAUAGAGAAGCAGUUGGGACCUCCUUCAAGGUCGUGCCCUAUCAGUACCAGUCGUAUGUUCAGGCCUAUCAGAACUGUCACCUUGCAAAAGUUAGAGUCCCUAGCUGCCUCCAUUGCCAGGAAAAUAGGCUUGGAAUUGCCUUCAGUGAACUUCCAUGCUAUAGCUGCCCGUUAUCUCAAGAAUUUAUCGCUUCCUGUUGAGAAAAUUCUUCCUCAGGCAUGCCAAGUGUAUGAGUGGUCUAUGCCUCCGGAGUUGUAUUUAUCAGAUAAUGACUCCAGGCUGCCUUCUCGUGUUUGCGUGAUGUCUAUACUGAUUGUGACAAUGAGGAUUCUUUAUGACCUGAAUGGCGGAAAAUGGGAACUGAUUUCAUCUUGUUCGAAUAAUUUAGUGUCUGCUGUUGAGAAUGGAGCUGGAGAAUGUGGUUUCAGUUGCAAUGCAAGAGGUGCUGUUGCUGAGGAAGACUCUGCUUCACGUGAUUCAGAUCAUCAUGAUAGUUCAUCAGCUUUGAGUAAAAAAUCUAAUUCUGAUGCUUUGAAACUCUUGAAGAUUCUUGAAGAAAAAUACAGUGAGCUCAGUGAUUCAUAUGAUUUUUCAAAAGAUUUACAAUCAUAUCUUCUGUACUGCAAAAAUGUGGUUUUCGCUGGACUAGAACCUGCUUACGACGAUCACGAAGAAGAAAAGCUAAUAGAAGACUUUUGGAAUUUCUAUCAAAGCCGUAAGGCUGCCAAAGCACCAGAAGAUGGGAAGACAGACUCCCACACUUGUAACCAUUUUCACCAUAGUGGAUCCAGACAUGGAUCCAACAGCACAACAAAAGAAAACGAGAACUUUAGAGACGAUGAUGAUUCAAAUGCAGCAUUGAGGCAGCUGAAAGCAGAUAUGAAAGAGAAUCGAUUUGUCUAUAUACCACCAAGGAAAAAUGUGAAGAAGAUAGACGGGUACAUCAGGUAUGCUAGAAAGAAAG